rnacentral:rRNA from 2 species
ACCUUCGGGUGUGACUGCGUACCUUUUGUAUAAUGGGUCAGCGACUUAUAUUCUGUAGCAAGGUUAACCGUAUAGGGGAGCCGAAGGGAAACCGAGUCUUAACUGGGCGUCAAGUUGCAGGGUAUAGACCCGAAACCCGGUGAUCUAGCCAUGGGCAGGUUGAAGGUUGGGUAACACUAACUGGAGGACCGAACCGACUAAUGUUGAAAAAUUAGCGGAUGACCUGUGGCUGGGGGUGAAAGGCCAAUCAAACCGGGAGAUAGCUGGUUCUCCCCGAAAGCUAUUUAGGUAGCGCCUCGUGAACUCAUCUUCGGGGGUAGAGCACUGUUUCGGCUAGGGGGCCAUCCCGGCUUACCAACCCGAUGCAAACUACGAAUACCGAAGAAUGUUAUCACGGGAGACACACGGCGGGUGCUAACGUCCGUCGUGAAGAGGGAAACAACCCAGACCGCCAGCUAAGGUCCCAAAGUCAUGGUUAAGUGGGAAACGAUGUGGGAAGGCACAGACAGCCAGGAUGUUGGCUUAGAAGCAGCCAUCAUUUAAAGAAAGCGUAAUAGCUCACUGGUCGAGUCGGCCUGCGCGGAAGAUGUAACGGGGCUAAACCAUGCACCGAAGCUGCGGCAGCGACGCUUAUGCGUUGUUGGGUAGGGGAGCGUUCUGUAAGCCGUUGAAGGUGUGCUGUGAGGCAUGCUGGAGGUAUCAGAAGUGCGAAUGCUGACAUAAGUAACGAUAAAGCGGGUGAAAAGCCCGCUCGCCGGAAGACCAAGGGUUCCUGUCCAACGUUAAUCGGGGCAGGGUGAGUCGACCCCUAAGGCGAGGCCGAAAGGCGUAGUCGAUGGGAAACAGGUUAAUAUUCCUGUACUUGGUGUUACUGCGAAGGGGGGACGGAGAAGGCUAUGUCAGCCGGGCGACGGUUGUCCCGGUUUAAGCAUGUAGGCGGAGGUUCCAGGUAAAUCCGGUACCUUAUUAACGCUGAGGUGUGAUGACGAGGCACUACGGUGCUGAAGUGAUAAAUGCCCUGCUUCCAGGAAAAGCCUCUAAGCAUCAGGUAACACGAAAUCGUACCCCAAACCGACACAGGUGGUCAGGUAGAGAAUACCAAGGCGCUUGAGAGAACUCGGGUGAAGGAACUAGGCAAAAUGGUGCCGUAACUUCGGGAGAAGGCACGCUGAUAUGUAGGUGAAGCCCCUGCGGGCGGAGCUGAAAUCAGUCGAAGAUACCAGCUGGCUGCAACUGUUUAUUAAAAACACAGCACUGUGCAAACACGAAAGUGGACGUAUACGGUGUGACGCCUGCCCGGUGCCGGAAGGUUAAUUGAUGGGGUUAGCGGCAACGCGAAGCUCUUGAUCGAAGCCCCGGUAAACGGCGGCCGUAACUAUAACGGUCCUAAGGUAGCGAAAUUCCUUGUCGGGUAAGUUCCGACCUGCACGAAUGGCGUAAUGAUGGCCAGGCUGUCUCCACCCGAGACUCAGUGAAAUUGAACUCGCUGUGAAGAUGCAGUGUACCCGCGGCAAGACGGAAAGACCCCGUGAACCUUUACUAUAGCUUGACACUGAACACUGGUCCUUGAUGUGUAGGAUAGGUGGGAGGCUUUGAAGCGUGGACGCCAGUCUGCGUGGAGCCGCCCUUGAAAUACCACCCUUUAAUGGCUGGUGUUCUAACGUAGACCCGUGAUCCGGGUUGCGGACAGUGUCUGGUGGGUAGUUUGACUGGGGCGGUCUCCUCCCAAAGAGUAACGGAGGAGCACGAAGGUUGGCUAAUCCUGGUCGGACAUCAGGAGGUUAGUGCAAUGGCAUAAGCCAGCUUGACUGCGAGCGUGACGGCGCGAGCAGGUGCGAAAGCAGGUCAUAGUGAUCCGGUGGUUCUGAAUGGAAGGGCCAUCGCUCAACGGAUAAAAGGUACUCCGGGGAUAACAGGCUGAUACCGCCCAAGAGUUCAUAUCGACGGCGGUGUUUGGCACCUCGAUGUCGGCUCAUCACAUCCUGGGGCUGAAGUAGGUCCCAAGGGUAUGGCUGUUCGCCAUUUAAAGUGGUACGCGAGCUGGGUUUAGAACGUCGUGAGACAGUUCGGUCCCUAUCUGCCGUGGGCGCUGGAGAAUUGAGGGGGGCUGCUCCUAGUACGAGAGGACCGGAGUGGACGCAUCACUGGUGUUCGGGUUGUCAUGCCAAUGGCACUGCCCGGUAGCUAAAUGCGGAAGAGAUAAGUGCUGAAAGCAUCUAAGCACGAAACUUGCCCCGAGAUGAGUUCUCCCUGAGACCUUGAGUCUCCUGAAGGAACGUUGAAGACGACGACGUUGAUAGGUCGGGUGUGUAAGCGCAGCGAUGCGUUGAGCUAACCGAUACUAAUGAACCGUGAGGCUUAACCUU